rnacentral:piRNA from 1 species
UGGUCACUUGCUUCACACUCUAUGUUG